rnacentral:rRNA from 1 species
AACGGCCGUACCAUGCUGAAUAUACCGGUUCUCGUUAGAUCACCGAAGUUAAGCAUCAUUGGGCGCGGUCAGUACUUGGGUGGGUGACCACCUGGGAACGCUUCGUGCCGUU